rnacentral:rRNA from 1 species
GGCAGUGCGGCAGCUAUAAUGCAGUCGAGCGGACAGAUGGGAGCUUGCUCCCUGAUGUUAGCGGCGGACGGGUGAGUAACACGUGGGUAACCUGCCUGUAAGACUGGGAUAACUCCGGGAAACCGGGGCUAAUACCGGAUGGUUGUUUGAACCGCAUGGUUCAGACAUAAAAGGUGGCUUCGGCUACCACUUACAGAUGGACCCGCGGCGCAUUAGCUAGUUGGUGAGGUAACGGCUCACCAAGGCAACGAUGCGUAGCCGACCUGAGAGGGUGAUCGGCCACACUGGGACUGAGACACGGCCCAGACUCCUACGGGAGGCAGCAGUAGGGAAUCUUCCGCAAUGGACGAAAGUCUGACGGAGCAACGCCGCGUGAGUGAUGAAGGUUUUCGGAUCGUAAAGCUCUGUUGUUAGGGAAGAACAAGUGCCGUUCAAAUAGGGCGGCACCUUGACGGUACCUAACCAGAAAGCCACGGCUAACUACGUGCCAGCAGCCGCGGUAAUACGUAGGUGGCAAGCGUUGUCCGGAAUUAUUGGGCGUAAAGGGCUCGCAGGCGGUUUCUUAAGUCUGAUGUGAAAGCCCCCGGCUCAACCGGGGAGGGUCAUUGGAAACUGGGGAACUUGAGUGCAGAAGAGGAGAGUGGAAUUCCACGUGUAGCGGUG